GUUAUGGAGAGGAGAGACGGAUUGGGAGUGUCUCUUUUCUUCGAAAGAACGGCAGGUAUAACAAAUCCAUGGCCGAGAUAUCGUUUCAGUCGUCAUUCUUCCAUUGACGAUUCGAUUGUUGCUCGUCCACAU